GAUGAACGCUGGCGGCGUGCCUAAUACAUGCAAGUCGAGCGAACAGACGAGGAGCUUGCGGCGCGGACGUGAGGGGCGGACGGGUGAGAAACACGUGGAUAACGCACCUAUAAGAGUGGGAAAACUUCGGGAAACCGGAGCAAACACGGGAGAAGAUAUUGAACCGCAGGGGGCGAUAGUGAAAGACGGUGGUGCGGGCACGAAUAGAGGGAUCCGCGCCGGAUUGGCUAGUUGGGAAGGUAACGGCUUACGAAGGCAACUAUGCGUAGCCGAGCGGAGGGGGUGAUCGGCCACCCUGGAGCUUGGCCACCGUCCAUGCUCCUACGGGAGGCCGCAGUCGGCAAUCUUCCGCAGUGGGCGAAAACCUGACGGAGCAACGCCGCGUGAGUGAUGACGGUCUUCGGAUCGUAAUGCUCUGUUAUUGGUUAAGAACCAAUGUGUCCUUAACUAUGCACGUCUUGACGGUACCUAGUCAGAAAGCCCCGGCUAACUACGUG
rnacentral:rRNA from 1 species